UACGUAGGGUGCAAGCGUUAAUCGGAAUUACUGGGCGUAAAGCGUGCGCAGGCGGCUUGCUAAGACAGGUGUGAAAGCCCCGGGCUUAACCUGGGAAUUGCGCUUGUGACUGGCAGGCUGGAGUGUGGCAGAGGGAGGUGGAAUUCCACGUGUAGCAGUGAAAUGCGUAGAGAUGUGGAGGAACACCGAUGGCGAAGGCAGCCUCCUGGGCCAGCACUGACGCUCAUGCACGAAAGCGUGGGGAGCAAACAGGAUUAGAAACCCCCGUAGUCC
rnacentral:rRNA from 1 species